rnacentral:tmRNA from 1 species
GGGGGCGUAAUGGGUUCGACGGGGGCAGUUGAGGCCCGAGGAGCAUGCCGAGUUCUGCUGACUCGUUAAACAGGCAGAGACACUUUAAGUGCCGACGAUUACAACUACGCACUGGCUGCCUAAGGGCGCCACAUUCUCCUAGAGUUCGCCCGCCGACUCAUGUGAGAAUGUCAAAUCAGACGG